ensembl:lncRNA
ACUGGGCUCACCUCACAAUGAGACAGUCAGGACAUAUUUAGUUAAAACUUUGGCUGAAGUCCAGAUGUGGAGGAUGUGGAGACAGACGUCCUUCUACCUGAUUGUAAAAAGCAUUUUGAAACUCUACGGAGGAACUACCGCUACAGUCAACCCAACAUGGCGGAUCAGGCGGAGGCCAUGAAGUCUUCUGCCCCGAGUCACCACAGAAGAAAGAGGGAAGACAGUCCUUGCUCCCGAUGAAGAGGACUUCUGGAAGAGCAUCACAGCUGACAUGAUGUCAGAUGAGGAGGACGGCAGCGUUGACGGGGUGCGUGGAUGGAUAGUAUGGCCUCCAUCCUUCCACAGCCAGGAGCUUGCCAACCUGUGUGCAGCCCUACAGGCUGAUGUAAAGUACACAGCUCUACAUCACAGGUGUUUUCACAAUGGACAGCCGUCUGAUAGACUGAAGCCACUGAAGUACAACACGGCAGCAGCCAGAAAACAUUUUAAGCCAGAGCUGAUGCUUGAGACCAGCCUGGAGUGAGAGAUGAACUUGGUCAAAAUUUUUUGUAAAUUUUUUGUUUUUAAAGACAGUUUAUUUUAAUUUUGAUUUCGGAUUUCUGGAACUCAGGACUGUUCAAUAAAGCUCUUGUUUUUCAACAUGUCUCAACAUGUCAUAUUUUUUCCCUUCCAAUAAAUUAAUGUCAUUGAUUGUAGGAUAGCCCAUUGGUUAACAAUAACAAGUAUGCAGGUAAUUAUACACUAUAUGGCCCAU